UACGUAGGGUGCAAGCGUUAAUCGGAAUUACUGGGCGUAAAGCGUGCGCAGGCGGUUUUGUAAGUCUGACGUGAAAUCCCCCGGGCUCAACCUGGGAAUUGCGUUUGGAGACUGCAAGGCUGGAGUCUGGCAGAGGGGGGGUAGAAUUCCACGUGUAGCAGUGAAAUGCGUAGAGAUGUGGAGGAACACCGAUGGCGAAGGCAGCCCCCUGGGUCAAGACUGACGCUCAUGCACGAAAGCGUGGGGAGCAAACGAGGAUUACGAAACCC
rnacentral:rRNA from 1 species